GCUGCAGUCUGGGUCAGCCGCUUGCUGCCCACGUGACCCUGGGAAAGUGCCCUGGCUUUGGUUUCCUCAGCUUGAAGGCAGCAAUAGUGAGAACCCACGUCCCGUGACUGCAGUGAAAUCAGAAACGGGCAGUGUUCGUGCAUCACACUGAGUCAGUGCUACGAGAUGCCAGUCCAUGUCAGGAGGCCACAGGCUACGACCAAGGCCGAAGAGUCCCAGGCAGAAGCCAAACAGUCUGUGCCAGAAGCCAGGAAAUGACGUCCAAGUUCAAGAGGCUGAGGAUGACCUGGUCCCCUGAUGAAUCACUUAAAGUCCUGACCUUCUCAGGUUGACCCAAUGCACCGUAUCCUAGAAGGGUAAGGACUUGUCCUCUGCACCCCAGGACGCAGAGCUGCUGAGUCCCUUGGUGAAGCUUCCGGCUUCCCAGGUGGACCCAGGGUAUAAACCGGAGCGGUGGUGUGGGUGCUCCUGGGGGCGGUGGGAUCGAUGAUCCGAGCAAGGAUGAAGCACGUGCAGCAGUACUGAUGGAGGUGACAGUGUGACCGCGGAGCCACAGCUGCCCUCCGAGUGGAUAUGAUGGUGGCAUCUUGGUGCCAGUGCGUGGAGAGGGUGACGCUUUGCCAUCAGGAUGGUGGCAGCACUGGUGCCGCAGCUCAUGGCCGUGUUGCGGAGGUGGAGGUAGAGGAGGAAGAGCUCAUGAGGAAAGAUGUCCCUGGAUGGAGCAGUCGAGCCAAGUGUGACAGAUGAAUGCCCAGCUGGGGACACAGCAGGGACCUUGUAAAUGCAAACUCUGCCUAUGAGACUUUGCUGAUGGGUAGGGGGCAGGGAAUGAGACAGGAUGCCCGGCAGUCACCACCCCGGAGAUAACUGAGGAGUGGGGGAAGGCAGGGCCCACAGGAACAGAGAAGGGGGCUCCUAACUGCGUGUGGGGAGAGCCGGGCUCCUGUAGAGCUUCCCGGGAGAGCUAGCACUGUCUCAGCUGCUGGACACAGAGCACGAGUGAGUGAUCCAGGCAGAAGCAGCCGUGGACAGAGGCAGAAGAGGGAAGGGGAGGGGAGUAGAGGUACACGGGCCGCUGUCCCGUGGCUGAGGCAAAAAUAUCUGACACCCACAAUUUCAUUUUUUUGUUUUGAGAGGAAGUCUCAUUGUGCAGUUCAGGCUGGCCUUGAACUCACAGCAACCCUCCUGCCUCAGCCUCAGAGCACUGGGAUUGCAGGCUCCGAGGCAGAAAUGUCACGAUGUUGGAGAGCUGUUCACUCAGCAACAGGAAGCAGACAGAAAGCAGAGAUGGAGAAGACUUCAGGCAGUGGCCGUGCUAGAAGACGGAAGCCAGAAGCCCAGGGAGGGGCCGAGCUGCCCAGGACAUCUGCUGUGUGCUUAGAGCUCAGCUCUUUCCCGCCAUUGCCAUCAAGAGCUUCCCUGUCACCAUGGUUACCGGGGAGGAGCUCGGGACCUCUGUGUUGCUGAGGAUGGCUGUGGUGCUUUCAGGACAGCCCUGAUCUUUGUUUUGAGCAUGACUUCUCAGCUCUAGCAUGGAACCCUCAACCUACCAGCACAGCUCCUUCACCCCGCUGGCAUGGACUUUCUGGCUUCCACCGCUGAGCUCUGGGCCUUCCCAGGGUAGAUCCGUAACGCAGACUCAUGUGAGACCUCGAUGGCUCCAGCUGGACUGGUGGGAGGCUGUCAUGGGCUCUAGGUCUUCAUCUGGACUCCUGCAGGACAUUGCUGUGGGACUCAGGCCCUUGGCUGAAUAUUCUGUGUCUUUGGUGCUGUGCACAGAUUUCCUGCACUUGUGUUAACUCUGGGUGACCAUCAUAAAUAAUAUUAUGAA